rnacentral:rRNA from 1 species
UACAGAGGUCCCAAGCGUUGUUCGGAUUCACUGGGCGUAAAGGGUGCGUAGGUGGCGGUGUAAGUUUGAUGUGAAAUCUCCGGGCUCAACCCGGAAAAUGCAUUGAAUACUACAUUGCUGGAGGUUUGGAGGGGGGACUGGAAUUCUUGGUGUAGCAGUGAAAUGCGUAGAUAUCAAGAGGAACACCAGUGGCGAAGGCGAGUCCCUGGACAACACCUGACACUGAGGCACGAAAGCCGGGGGAGCAAACAGG